rnacentral:rRNA from 1 species
UACGUAGGGUGCGAGCGUUAAUCGGAAUUACUGGGCGUAAAGGGUGCGCAGGCGGCGUCGCAAGUCAGGCGUGAAAUCCCCGGGCUUAACCUGGGAACUGCACUUGAAACUACGAUGCUGGAGUAUGGCAGAGGGAGGUGGAAUUCCACGUGUAGCAGCGAAAUGCGUAGAGAUGCGGAGGAACACCGAUGGCGAAGGCAGCCCCCUGGGCUAGCACUGACGCUCAGGCACGAAAGCGUGGGGAGCAAACAGG